UUUUUGGAGAGUUUGAUCCUGGCUCAGGACGAACGCUGGCGGCGUGCCUAAUACAUGCAAGUCGAGCGGACCGAAGGGAGCUUGCUCCUUUAGGUUAGCGGCGGACGGGUGAGUAACACGUGGGCAACCUGCCCUGCAGACUGGGAUAACUUCGGGAAACCGGAGCUAAUACCGGAUAACACCGAAAACCGCAUGGUUUUCGGUUGAAAGGCGGCUUUUAGCUGUCACUGCAGGAUGGGCCCGCGGCGCAUUAGCUAGUUGGUGAGGUAACGGCUCACCAAGGCGACGAUGCGUAGCCGACCUGAGAGGGUGACCGGCCACACUGGGACUGAGACACGGCCCAGACUCCUACGGGAGGCAGCAGUAGGGAAUCUUCCGCAAUGGACGAAAGUCUGACGGAGCAACGCCGCGUGAGCGAAGAAGGUCUUCGGAUCGUAAAGCUCUGUUGUCAGGGAAGAACAAGU
rnacentral:rRNA from 1 species